UACAUUGUUUGGUUUUUCAGGCUGGAUUCUGAUGGAAUAGGGAGAAGAGACCAUAUCCAAGCCACCUGUAAUCUUAUAAUGGUCUGAUGGGGAGGUAAAGAGUUACAAUGUCAAAACUUCAAGCAGGGACCUAGCCAAAUGCCCAAGGGAAGCGCAUCUGGUCUCUGGAUUCACACAGGUGUACUUCCUAGCUCUACCCUGCUCCACCCACCUCUAUGGAGCCUCCACUCCAGGUACUUUCCCAACCUAGGUGUGUCUCCACACCCAAUACAAUCUCUAAGAGAUAGAACUGCUCGAUCAAAAGGCUACACUGACACUGAGCAAAUUCUUCACUGCUCGCUGACUCACCAGUGUUUGCUGCUCAGCUCCUGCUGCAGGAGACCCAGCCCCCGGGUGCGAUAAGAGGAUUUCCUGCCCUCCAUCUGACCCACCUACCCAGACCACUCACCCCGCCCCCACUGGACAGAUGCUUCAGUACUGCAGCUCCCUCCAAAGCUUGGCACCAAGGCCUAAAGAUCUCCUACUUAGCAGCCCAGAAAGGAAGAUCCAAUGCUUAGAUUCCUGAUUGUUCCUGGACCAGCUUACGGAGCCACAAUUUCAACCCAAUACGUCAUGGGUACUCUCAGCUGAACAACAGGAGCAAUGAUCCCUGGCCCAUGAAAGCUGACAAAUUCCAUUACAACUAGGUGAGCCAUUAGGGUACUAUUUAUAUAAGAUGGCAUGACUAACAAGCUAAAAGAACUAUCUUAGCCUUCCUCCAAAUACACAGUUACAGAGUAUUUACUCCUGCCUUCUACUGUAGAAACAUUUUCUCUCUCCUUCAUGUUCCUAAGGAAGAACCCCUCUUAACAUCCAAGCAUCAGGUAACGGGAUGUAAAGCAAACUCUCCUGGAAGCCUCUGUACAAUAAUGACAUAACCAAUCUUCUUCUAGCUCAAAGGUAUUUGAUCUAAACCACAUCCUAUGAAACUGAAAAACCAGACAAGACCAGAAUUCUUGGUUUCAAUUACUAUCACCCAAACAAUUUCCCUACGGUAAGAGCCAAUUUAGGAAGAAUUCGGGUUUCUAAGACAGAGACUAGAAAUGUUUGUGGUUUGUCUGUCUUUAUUUUACACACACACACACACACACACACACA